rnacentral:rRNA from 1 species
ACGAGUGGCGGACGGGUGAGUAACACGUGGGUAACCUGCCCUUAAGUGGGGGAUAACAUUUGGAAACAGAUGCUAAUACCGCAUAGAUCCAAGAACCGCAUGGUUCUUGGCUGAAAGAUGGCGUAAGCUAUCGCUUUUGGAUGGACCCGCGGCGUAUUAGCUAGUUGGUGAGGUAAUGGCUCACCAAGGCGAUGAUACGUAGCCGAACUGAGAGGUUGAUCGGCCACAUUGGGACUGAGACACGGCCCAAACUCCUACGGGAGGCAGCAGUAGGGAAUCUUCCACAAUGGACGCAAGUCUGAUGGAGCAACGCCGCGUGAGUGAAGAAGGCUUUCGGGUCGUAAAACUCUGUUGUUGGAGAAGAAUGGUCGGCAGAGUAACUGUUGUCGGCGUGACGGUAUCCAACCAGAAAGCCACGGCUAACUACGUGCCAGCAGCCGCGGUAAUACGUAGGUGGCAAGCGUUAUCCGGAUUUAUUGGGCGUAAAGCGAGCGCAGGCGGUUUUUUAAGUCUGAUGUGAAAGCCCUCGGCUUAACCGAGGAAGCGCAUCGGAAACUGGGAAACUUGAGUGCAGAAGAGGACAGUGGAACUCCAUGUGUAGCGGUGAAAUGCGUAGAUAUAUGGAAGAACACCAGUGGCGAAGGCGGCUGUCUGGUCUGUAACUGACGCUGAGGCUCGAAAGCAUGGGUAGCGAACAGGAUUAGAUACCCUGGUAGUCCAUGCCGUAAACGAUGAAUGCUAGGUGUUGGAAGGGUUUCCGCCCUUCAGUGCCGCACGCAGCUAACGCAUUAAGCAUUCCGCCUGGGGAGUACGACCGCAAGGUUGAAACUCAAAGGAAUUGACGGGGGCCCGCACAAGCGGUGGAGCAUGUGGUUUAAUUCGAAGCAACGCGAAGAACCUUACCAGGUCUUGACAUCUUUUGAUCACCUGAGAGAUCAGGUUUCCCCUUCGGGGGCAAAAUGACAGGUGGUGCAUGGUUGUCGUCAGCUCGUGUCGUGAGAUGUUGGGUUAAGUCCCGCAACGAGCGCAACCCUUAUGACUAGUUGCCAGCAUUUAGUUGGGCACUCUAGUAAGACUGCCGGUGACAAACCGGAGGAAGGUGGGGAUGACGUCAAAUCAUCAUGCCCCUUAUGACCUGGGCUACACACGUGCUACAAUGGAUGGUACAACGAGUUGCGAGACCGCGAGGUCAAGCUAAUCUCUUAAAGCCAUUCUCAGUUCGGACUGUAGGCUGCAACUCGCCUACACGAAGUCGGAAUCGCUAGUAAUCGCGGAUCAGCACGCCGCGGUGAAUACGUUCCCGGGCCUUGUACACACCGCCCGUCACACCAUGAGAGUUUGUAACACCCGAAGCCGGUGGCGUAACCCUUUUAGGGAGCGAGCCGUCUAAGGUGGGACAAAUGAUU